CUUUUGCACCAAAGACGGACUUUUAAUUCAACAUCGAGGUCAUCAACUCACUUGUCAAUUNGGNCUUUUUAAGUGAAUUAAGCUGUUAUCCCUAAAGUAACUUAUUCUUUUUUUAAAAUUUUUAGNUAUUAAGCCCUNUAAAGUCUUUUGAAAACAAGAAAAGUUAUUUUCCCUNCCGCCCCAGUAAAAUAUUCAUUGUCCUUCCUAAAAGAAAUAAAUAUAAAGUUUUAUAGGGUCUUCUUGUCUUUAAGAAUUAUUUUAGCCUUCUUACUAAAAGGUCAACUUCAUUUUUUUAUCUUAAAAAAGCCUAUUCCAGUUUACCCUUUCAUUCCAG
rnacentral:rRNA from 1 species